GUGACACGUAAAGAAAUCAUUGAUAAAAUCAUAUGACGAUCGAUUUGCCCAAUUUUUGUGUUAUGUCGUUACGAUUUUUUCACAUGUUGCUACAUAUUUGUUUUUGAUAACUGCUUAUUUGGACCACUGAUAGCCAUCAAUUUCUAUUGUCUUAGGAUUACCUCGCCGGUCCAUAAUGUAGCUCCAACAUGUCGCUAAUUAAGCAAAUGGCGCCUGGCUACGAUCCGUGGAAACAAAAGACGACUUGAAGUAUGGUCCCCGGAGGAGGGGGUUGACCUGUGAUCGCCGCCGCUCCAGGCAGAAGAGGACUGUCUUACAAAUGUAGAUCGGUACCAGACGGACUCAGCGCUAGCUGUGACAGGAGCGGAGCUUUCUUCGCUCGCCGCAAAGGGUAUAUCUAUGGACAUAAUGAGGAUGGUACAUCGGGUUGGCGUGACGUGAUUCACUAAACUCUAUAGAGACGACAGAAGACGAGGGUGUGCGAGUCAGAAGAAGAACCAAAACAUGCCGAAGUCUUGUCCGGUUAUCCCUAUCCCCCUAAUGUCCCCAAUGAGGAAAGUCAGUCCAGGACGCCACAUCAGCGACCGGAUUGCGAGGUUUGGAUAUGGCGAAGCGCGCAGGCGUCCAGACUGAGAACAAACUAUGGACACCUGUUACAGACAUUCUGCAGACGGCAUGUGAAAACAGUCUUCGUACAGGCUCCGGUAUUGCCUAUGCCAAUGUGAGAUGAGAUAGUUGAUCAUGGCUCUGUUUGAAUAGUGAUGACUGAAUCAGCAUAAUGAUAAGGUCUAAACCUCUAGCUAAGUGUUACGCCUAAUAGCAAUGUUUACCAAAAUGUAAAUCAUGGUGGCAAUUUCCUCGCAGGCGACGGCCUUACCAAAAUCAGUAAAUACAAGGCGAGAAAAAACAUGGUUAUGGAAAUUGUGGGGGUCAUUUAUUGUCCUCCCAAUGCCAUGAAAUGUAUGAAGACAUUGUCAAAGUAGGUGCCCAUUUAAUUCACUGAUCACUGCUUUGUUUUACGAAAGUCGGCUUAUUAGCUUUAACGAUGAUCACCAUUUGUUUGUCGUUGAACCCUCCUGAAUGGUGUCAUUAGAAUACGGUGAAUUAUAGAAUUUGUCAUUUUACUAGUGCAUUAUUACUUAAGUUGCUAAUAACGCCUGAUAUGUGUUUCGUAUUUAGUUGUAUAUCAAUAAGUAAUGAAUUAUUUUGCCCUUAUCCACUCCGUCCAUAUGAGGGUUACUAUCAUUAGUGUUGAGGUAACAUAAUGUUUGUUUAGCAAGUACAUUGUUUACAUUGUAAGACGAAUUUGUCUUGUAUAUAGAUCUAGUUCUGCGAUACGGUUAAAUGUGGUCAUGUCUGUUUUAACACUUAAGGUCUGAAAAGUGAAUUUUGUGACCUUCUUAUUCUGUCCUUUUUAUCCUUUUUUUGUGAUAUCAUCUUUGUAUAAUCUAUUUGGUUUCCUUCAAUUUAACAGUUAUGAAUGUGAAAUUACCUUCUUGAUAAUUGGUUGCAACAUUGUAUGAAUUUAACCAUUUUUCAUUGGAAACGCGACAAUAAACCCUGACGUGUGAUGCG